CCCCCCCGGCAGCCUUUUGGACAGCUGAACUCUCAGUGUCUGCCCGCCUCCACAGGUAACACUGUUGCUGGAGGGGCCCCCGAGUUCACUCUUACUUCUCCGUUUGUUCACCCCCCUGGUUGUCUUCGCUGCUGUCGCCUACGGGGGGGUGUCGGAUGGCAGGUUAGGGUAACUGGCCUCUGCCGCUUUGGCUACAUUCGAACCAGACUUCCUGCAGCCGCUGCCGUUCCCUGCGUUUCGGGGCCUGCUCGCGGACUACCAGCCUUGUUAGCUCCUGGUCGU